rnacentral:tRNA from 1 species
UGUGUGUAGCUCAGUGGUAGAGCACAUGCCUAGCUUGCUGAGGCCCUGGGUUCCAUCCCCAGUACCACAA